rnacentral:rRNA from 1 species
GACGAACGCUGGCGGCGUGCUUAACACAUGCAAGUCGAACGGAAAGGCCCUGCUUUUGUGGGGUGCUCGAGUGGCGAACGGGUGAGUAACACGUGAGUAACCUGCCCUUGACUUUGGGAUAACUUCAGGAAACUGGGGCUAAUACCGGAUAGGAGCUCCUGCUGCAUGGUGGGGGUUGGAAAGUUUCGGCGGUUGGGGAUGGACUCGCGGCUUAUCAGCUUGUUGGUGGGGUAGUGGCUUACCAAGGCUUUGACGGGUAGCCGGCCUGGGAGGGUGACCGGCCACAUGGGGACUGAGAGACGGCCCAGACUCGUACGGGAGGCAGCAGUGGGAAAUAUUGCACAAUGGGCGGAAGCCUGAUGCAGCAACGCCGCGUGCGGGAUGACGGCCUUCGGGUUGUAAACCGCUUUCGCCUGUGACGAAGCGUGAGUGACGGUAAUGGGUAAAGAAGCACCGGCUAACUACGUG